UAAUGAUUAAAAGGAACAGUCGGGGACAUUCGUAUUGCUGCGUUAGAGGUGAAAUUCUUGGAUCGCAGUAAGACGAACAACUGCGAAAGCAUUUGUCAAGGAUGUUUUCAUUAAUCAAGAACGAAAGUUAGAGGUUCGAAGGCGAUCAGAUACCGCCCUAGUUCUAACUGUAAACGAUGCCAACUAGCGAUUCGUCGAUGUUAUACUACGAUUGGACGAGAAACUUCCGGGAAACCAAAGUUAUUAGGUUCCUGGGGAAGUAUAGUUGCAAAGCUGAAACUUAAAGGAAUUGACGGAAGGGCACCACCAGGAGUGGAGCCUGCGGCUUAAUUUGACUCAACACGGGAAAUCUCACCCGGCCCGGACAUUGAAAGGAUUGACAGAUCGAGAGCUCUUUCUUAAUUCGAUGGGUAGUGGUGCAUGGCCGUUCUUAGUUGGUGGAGCGAUUUGUCUGGUUAAUUCCGAUAACGAACGAGACUCUGCCGUAUUAAAUAGUGAAUGUCCAGACAAAAUGAUGGUUACUUCUUAAAAGGACAAGCGGAAAAGAACCGCACGAAAUGGAGCAAUAACAGGUCUGUGAUGCCCUUAGAUGUCCGGGGCUGCACGCGCGCUACACUGAUAAACUCAGCGCGUUUAUUUCUUCGUCUGUUGAGACGGAGUAAUCGAAUGAAAUCGUAUCAUGAUUGGAAUAAGGAAUUGAAAUUGGCAUCUUUGAACGAGGAAUUCCCAGUAAGUGCGGGUCAUGAGCUCGCGCUGAU
rnacentral:rRNA from 1 species